rnacentral:rRNA from 1 species
UACGGGGGGAGCAAGCGUUGUCCGGAUUCAUUGGGCGUAAAGAGCGCGCAGGCGGCUUGGUAAGUCGGAUGUGAAAACCCGAGGCUCAACCUCGGGCGUGCAUCCGAAACUGCUCGGCUAGAGGUAGGUAGGGGAGAUCGGAAUUCCUGGUGUAGCGGUGAAAUGCGCAGAUAUCAGGAGGAACACCGGUGGCGAAGGCGGAUCUCUGGGCCUUACCUGACGCUCAGGCGCGAAAGCUAGGGGAGCGAACUGG